GGAUCAAGUCGUCGGUCGUGCUUAGGUACGUACUGGCGUCAUUGAUUUCUCCCUUCUGACAAACCAUGAUGUCAUUAAUUUGGUGUUAUGGGAAAUCAGGACUGUUACUUUGAAAAAAUUAGAGUGUUUAAAGCAGGCUCACGCUUGAAUACAUUAGCAUGGAAUAAUGAAAUAGGACGUUCGAUCCUAUUUUGUUGGUUUUAGGAUCAACGUA
rnacentral:rRNA from 1 species